CUUGGGGGUGGGGCGCCCUGGACAGCUGGACGUGAGAGCUGCGCGGUUUCCGGCCUCGCCUGCCUCCGAUCACGUGGGAGCAGGGCGGUUGGCUCCGAGAGCACGACGCCGAGGCAUCCCGGUUGUCACGGUCACCCUUCAGGUCCUUUCCCGGGUUCGCUGGGGCAGUGAGGCGCCCUGGGGGGAGGCCGCAGACUGUGCCGCCCCGCGCUCUGGGCCCCGGCUGUCCCCGCCCAAGGCUGCGGUCCACUUUGCGUUGCCUUUGCAACGUCCUAAGUUUACAGGACAGAGCCUGAGUACUCCAACAAUGGCUGCACUACACUGAAGAGGCAGUUGCUUAGUCCACGAGGUUGGAUGUCACAGUAGUCCCGUUCUGGUGCUGAAGGCCUGAUGUAUUCUGGGAGAACUGCUACUCUUCAGUUUAGGUUGGAACUCUAAGAAGUUGGUCACAGCAGCGAGACGAACUCACCAGUGGGCAGGAAGGUCAAUCAAGUCAACAUCAUCUAACCCAUUGAAAAGUUUGGAGAAAAUGAGAGUUAAGAGCAGAAGCCUUGUGACUGUUAAAUUAUCAUCAAAUCAGAGAGAGGAAGAAGUGGUAUCAACCAGUUAAUGGAACUUGUAACUGCUAAUAUCACUCAAGCAAACGCAUCUGAGAGUCAAAGUUUCAGCCGCUGCUGGAGACUGUGGAUUGAGGACGCACUGCUCUGGAGCUUCUCAGUGACUGUGUCUUUU